rnacentral:rRNA from 1 species
CGCCUAAUACAUGCAAGUCGAACGAAGUAGCAAUACUUAGUGGCAGACGGGUGAGUAACAUGUAGGUAUCUUCCCUUUGGUGAGGAAUAACACGAGGAAACUUGUGCUAAUACCUCAUAAGUCUUUACGGAGAAAGCUUUAUGCGCCAAUGGAUGAGCCUGCACUUGAUUAGUUUGUUGGUGAGGUAAUGGCUCACCAAGACAAUGAUCAAUAGCUGAUUUGAGAGGAUGAUCAGCCACAUUGGGACUGAGACACGGCCCAAACUCCUACGGGAGGCAGCAGUAGGGAAUCUUGCACAAUGGGGGAAACCCUGAUGCAGCGAUGCCGCGUGAGUGAAGAAGGCCCUUGGGUUGUAAAGCUCUUUCGUCGGGGAAGAAAAUGACUGUACCCGAAUAAGAAGGUCCGGC